GAUGAACGCUGGCGGCGUGCCUAAUACAUGCAAGUCGAGCGAACAGACGAGGAGCUUGCUCCUCUGACGUUAGCGGCGGACGGGUGAGUAACACGUGGAUAACCUACCUAUAAGACUGGGAUAACUUCGGGAAACCGGAGCUAAUACCGGAUAAUAUAUUGAACCGCAUGGUUCAAUAGUGAAAGACGGUUUUGCUGUCACUUAUAGAUGGAUCCGCGCCGCAUUAGCUAGUUGGUAAGGUAACGGCUUACCAAGGCGACGAUGCGUAGCCGACCUGAGAGGGUGAUCGGCCACACUGGAACUGAGACACGGUCCAGACUCCGACGGGAGGCAGCAGUAGGGAAUCUUCCGCAAUGGGCGAAAGCCUGACGGAGCAACGCCGCGUGAGUGAUGAAGGUCUUCGGAUCGUAAAACUCUGUUAUUAGGGAAGAACAAAUGUGUAAGUAACUAUGCACGUCUUGACGGUACCUAAUCAGAAAGCCACGGCUAACUACGU
rnacentral:rRNA from 1 species